GGGGCUGAUUCUGGAUUCGACGGGAUUUGCGAAACCCAAGGUGCAUGCCGAGGGGCGGUUGGCCUCGUAAAAAGCCGCAAAAAAUAGUCGCAAACGACGAAAACUACGCUUUAGCAGCUUAAUAACCUGCUUAGAGCCCUCUCUCCCAAGCCUCCGCUCUUAGGACGGGGAUCAAGAGAGGUCAAACCCAAAAGAGAUCGCGUGGAAGCCCUGCCUGGGGUUGAAGCGUUAAAACUUAAUCAGGCUAGUUUGUUAGUGGCGUGUCCGUCCGCAGCUGGCAAGCGAAUGUAAAGACUGACUAAGCAUGUAGUACCGAGGAUGUAGGAAUUUCGGACGCGGGUUCAACUCCCGCCAGCUCCACCA
rnacentral:tmRNA from 1 species